rnacentral:rRNA from 1 species
CCUACGGGAGGCAGCAGUGAGGAAUAUUGGUCAAUGGACGAGAGUCUGAACCAGCCAAGUAGCGUGAAGGAUGACUGCCCUAUGGGUUGUAAACUUCUUUUAUAUGGGAAUAAAACGUUCCACGUGUGGGAUUUUGUAUGUACCAUAUGAAUAAGGAUCGGCUAACUCCGUGCCAGCAGCCGCGGUAAUACGGAGGAUCCGAGCGUUAUCCGGAUUUAUUGGGUUUAAAGGGAGCGUAGGUGGAUUGUUAAGUCAGUUGUGAAAGUUUGCGGCUCAACCGUAAAAUUGCAGUUGAAACUGGCAGUCUAGAGUGCAGUAGAGGUGGGCGGAAUUCGUGGUGUAGCGGUGAAAUGCUUAGAUAUCACGAAGAACUCCGAUUGCGAAGGCAGCUCACUGGACUGCAACUGACACUGAGGCUCGAAAGUGUGGGUAUCAAACAGGAUUAGAUACCCCAGUAGUC